rnacentral:rRNA from 1 species
AUUGAACGCUGGCGGAAUGCUUUACACAUGCAAGUCGAACGGCAGCACGGGGCAACCUGGUGGCGAGUGGCGAACGGGUGAGUAAUACAUCGGAACGUGCCCAAUCGUGGGGGAUAACGUAGCGAAAGUUACGCUAAUACCGCAUACGAUCUACGGAUGAAAGCGGGGGAUCGCAAGACCUCGCGCGAAUGGAGCGGCCGAUGUCAGAUUAGGUAGUUGGUGGGGUAAAGGCUCACCAAGCCGACGAUCUGUAGCUGGUCUGAGAGGACGACCAGCCACACUGGGACUGAGACACGGCCCAGACUCCUACGGGAGGCAGCAGUGGGGAAUUUUGGACAAUGGGCGCAAGCCUGAUCCAGCCAUUCCGCGUGCAGGAUGAAGGCCUUCGGGUUGUAAACUGCUUUUGUACGGAACGAAACGGCGAGCUCUAAUACAGUUUGCUAAUGACGGUGCCGUAGGAAUAAGCACCGGCUAACUACGUGCCAGCCGCCGCAGUAA